GUUUUAAUAAUUUAAAUAAAAUACUGGUCUUGUAAAUCAGAAAUAAGACUUGAUCUUUUAAAACU
rnacentral:tRNA from 1 species